rnacentral:rRNA from 1 species
GAUGAACUCUGGCGGCGUGCCUAAUACAUGCAAGUCGAGCGAACGGACGAGAAUCUUGCUUCUCUGAUGUUAGCGGCGGACGGGUGAGUAACACGUGGAUAACCUACCUAUAAUACUGGGAUAACUUCGGGAAACCGGAUCUAAUCCCGGAUGAUAUUUUGAACCGCAUGGUUCAAAAGUGAAAGACGGUCUUGCUGUCACUUAUAGAUGCAUCCGCGCUGCAUUAGCUAGUUGGUAAGGUAACGGCUUACCAAGGCAACGAUGCAUAGCCGACCGGAGAGAGUGAUCGGCCACACUGGAACUGAGACACGGUCCAGACUCCUAAGGGAGGCAGCAGUAGGGAAUCUUCCGCAAUGGGCGAAAGCCUGACGGAGCAACGCCGCGUGAGUGAUGAAGGUCUUCGGAUCGUAAAACUCUGUUAUUAGGGAAGAACAUAUGUGUAAGUAACUGUGCACAUCGUGACGGUACCUAAUCAGAAAGCCACGGCUAACUACGUG